rnacentral:tRNA from 1 species
CAGAAAAUAGUUUAAAAAAUAUUAAUUUUGGAGAUUAAAGACAGGGAGUGAUCUCUUUUUCUGA